rnacentral:lncRNA from 1 species
UCUAAAUUUAGCCAUAGUUUCAGAAACAAUGCCCUUACAUGACGUGAAAUAAACAGGUCUUUAAGAGAGAGGUGCCAGCUCCUCGUUCGUGGAUGCAUUUGUCCACCUAGGAAUAGACACACGCUGCACAUUUCCUGCAUGCUGGGCUCUGUAAGGAGGAAGGGAGAGGCCCCUGCUUGGAGAAGCUUUCCAUCCAACAGAUGUGGAUGCUACCUAUGCCACCAGUGUCAAACAUAACUUCAGGAUCACAGAAGAGGCCGAGAGUGCUAAAAGGUCACGCUGGAAUGAAGCAUAUGAGGUGAGAACAUAGCAAGAAGCUACCAUCUGUGCACCAGGAAAUGGGCCCUCACAAGACAUCAAAUCUGCCAGCCACCUCAAUGGUGGGCUUUCCAGCCUCCAGAACUGUGAGAAAUAAAUUUCUGUUUUUAUAA